UCUUGGUCAUUUAGAGGAAGUAAAAGUCGUAACAAGGUCUCCGUUGGUGAACCAGCGGAGGGAUCAUUACAGAGUUGCAAAACUCCCUAAACCAUUGUGAACGUUACCUAAACCGUUGCUUCGGCGGGCGGCCCGGGUCCUUCCCGGCGCCCAUCGGCCCUCGCGGGCGCCCGCCGGAGGUAAACCAAACUAUUGCAUUGUAUGGCCUCUCUGAGUCUUCUGUACUGAAUAAGUCAAAACUUUCAACAACGGAUCUCUUGGUUCUGGCAUCGAUGAAGAACGCAGCGAAAUGCGAUAAGUAAUGUGAAUUGCAGAAUUCAGUGAAUCAUCGAAUCUUUGAACGCACAUUGCGCCCGCCAGUAUUCUGGCGGGCAUGCCUGUUCGAGCGUCAUUUCAACCAUCAAGCCCCGGGCUUGUGUUGGGGACCUGCGGCUGCCGCAGGCCCUGAAAUGCAGUGGCGGGCUCGCUGUCACUCCGAGCGUAGUAGUUACAUCUCGCUCUGGGCGUGCUGCGGGUUCCGGCCGUUAAAAGCCUUAUUUACCCAAGGUUGACCUCGGAUCAGGUAGGAAGACCCGCUGAACUUAAGCAUAUCAAUAAGCGGAGGAA
rnacentral:rRNA from 1 species